UUGGGAGCUCACUGGCUUCGGAGUCAUGGGAACUCCGAAGUUAAGCGAGUUGGGGGCUAGAGCUAUUCCAGGAUGGGUGACCCACUGGGAAGUUGCUCGUGAGCUCCUAAA
rnacentral:rRNA from 1 species